rnacentral:rRNA from 1 species
CCUACGGGAGGCUGCAGUGAGGAAUAUUGGUCAAUGGACGCGAGUCUGAACCAGCCAAGUAGCGUGAAGGAUGACUGCCCUAUGGGUUGUAAACUUCUUUUAUAUGGGAAUAAAAUGUUCCACGUGUGGGAUUUUGUAUGUACCAUAUGAAUAAGGAUCGGCUAACUCCGUGCCAGCAGCCGCGGUAAUACGGAGGAUCCGAGCGUUAUCCGGAUUUAUUGGGUUUAAAGGGAGCGUAGGUGGAUUGUUAAGUCAGUUGUGAAAGUUUGCGGCUCAACCGUAAAAUUGCAGUUGAUACUGGCAGUCUUGAGUACAGGAGAGGUAGGCGGAAUUCGUGGUGUAGCGGUGAAAUGCUUAGAUAUCACGAAGAACUCCGAUGGCGAAGGCAGUUCACUGGACUGCAACUGACACUGAUGCUCGAAAGUGUGGGUAUCAAACAGGAUUAGAUACCCGUGUAGUC